rnacentral:rRNA from 1 species
UACGUAGGGGGCUAGCGUUGUCCGGAUUUAUUGGGCGUAAAGAGCGUGUAGGCGGCCAGGUAGGUCUGGUGUGAAAACUCGAGGCUUAACCUCGAGAUGUCAUCGGAAACCAUCUGGCUAGAGUCCGGAAGAGGAGAGUGGAAUUCCUGGUGUAGCGGUGAAAUGCGCAGAUAUCAGGAAGAACACCAAUGGCGGAAGCAGCUCUCUGGGACGGUACUGACGCUGAGACGCGAAAGCGUGGGGAGCGAACAGG